GGGGAAGCAAUAUCGAGCGUGUCAUGGUGUCAGCCCUCAAAGUUAAGGUCUUGCUCUGUCACCUGGACUAGAAUGGAGUGGUGUCAUUACAGCUUACUGAGACCUCAAACUCCUGGGCUCAAGUGAUCCUCUUGCCUCAGACUACCGAGUAACUGGACUACAGGCACAUGAAGAAGAAUUAA